rnacentral:rRNA from 1 species
GAUGAACGCUGGCGGUGUGCCUAAUACAUGCAAGUCGUACGCAUUCUCGUUUCUGAUUGACGGUGCUUGCACCUAAUUGACGAGACAUUGGAAUGAGUGGCGGACGGGUGAGUAACACGUGGGUAACCUGCCCAGAAGCGGGGGAUAACAUUUGGAAACAGAUGCUAAUACCGCAUAAAAGUCAAAACCACAUGGUUUUGAUUUAAAAGAUGGCCUUUGUGCUAUCACUUCUGGAUGGACCCGCGGCGUAUUAGCUAGUUGGUAAGGUACCGGCUUACCAAGGCAAUGAUACGUAGCCGAACUGAGGGGUUGAUCGGCCACAAUGGGACUGGGACACGGCCCAUACUCCUACGGGAGGCAGCAGUAGGGAAUCUUCCACAAUGGGCGCAAGCCUGAUGGAGCAACACCGCGUGAGUGAAGAAGGGUUUCGGCUCGUAAAACUCUGUUGUUAAAGAAGAACGUAUCUAAGAGUAACGGCUUAGGUAGUGACGGUAUUUAACCAGAAAGCCACGGCUAACUACGUGCCAGCAGCCGCCGUAA